rnacentral:lncRNA from 1 species
GUUGGAGAGGCUGGGAGAGGAGAGGGAGGUGACUGGGGAGGAGAGGGCAGGGACCGGGGAGAGAGGAGGAAUGGGGCGGGCCAGCGGGACUGCAGGGGGCGGGCCUGCCUUGCGAGCGCCCGAGUCCUCUUCGCAGAGCCCCUUUGGGCUCUCAGCGCCCCCUCCCUCCUGCUCAAGGUCACGGCUGCAGCUCAGGGUCCGGAAGAGUCGGACUGGGAACCAGGUCUCCCGAGUCUCAUAAUCCCCGCUCGAGAUGGGCUGUGUCUCUUGAGCCACCUCCUUCUCCCCAAACUCCUAAACUCACCGCAGCUUAGGGCUAUUUUGGGAUUUCUGAGUCCCUUUGGGAUCUCUGAGUCCCUCUCCUCCUCUUCUUUCUCCUCUUCGCAAGGCCACUUCUACCUGUAGUUGUCACCUGGAGGAAGGGGUUUCUGAGCCUAAAGGGUUGGUGAGGAAGAGGAGGAUCUUCGGGAGAGUUAAAGGUGCCUAUGGCAAGUGAGAGAACAGGAUGGGGGCGUGGGAGAGGGACAGGGAGGUUGCGGGGAAGGAAGAGGGUCUGGAAGGAGUGGAGAUGAGCAUAUUACAUGACAAAGGUUUCCACACAUGCUAGUCUCUUAAUGCUUGGGACAGCCCUUUAAGGUGGGUAUGAGGGCAGUUUGCAGGGAGGAAACAGCCUCCGAAUGGGACUUUGGCCAAGGAGCCAGAGUUAGUUGUGGCAUCCAAGGGGCAGGGAUGGCAAAUACCAAGUGGAGCUCUCCCUCCCUUCCUAACCCACCCAGAAGCUGCUAGGGCAGUGGGAGGAGGGACAGGCCACCCAGAGUUCCUGGCAGCACAAUUUGAAUAUUCACAAACCCUUUUGGAGUCAAGAUUAUAACAGGACUGCAGCUCCUGCCUCCCUCCCGUGGAUGCUGGGAAAGACUCCUGCCGGGAUGCCCUGACCUGCCAAAGAGGGAAAAUGCAAAAGGAGGGGAAGCAAAGACAAAGAGAGAAUCAAGCUGACAAUGGUCAUCGGGCUUCUCAGGACCUGCUGCUUCAUGCAAAGGGCUCAGGUCACCCCUCCCUGCUGACAGUGAAUCUGCAGGAUGCAGGCCAGAGAGCGGGCUGCAGUCUCCUGGCACAGAACCCAGUCAGGCUAACUGGGCCACCUCGCCACCCACCACUCCAGUCAAAAGCCCUUAUCACCUGCUGGCCUCGCUUCUCCUAGCAAGCCUGGGAACCCAGGGGCAGAAGCUAGCUUGCUUCCCAGACUAUUUAGAGUUAAGGCUGCAGUUUGGUUAAAGAAAAACAUAGUGGCUCUAGCUUCAGCCUUAAUGUUCAUUUCAUUCAUCAGAACCAGUAGCGUGGAUUACAACCUCAUCAGGAGCUCAAUGCCCCUCGUGCCCAUCUCCCCAGGCUCAGGAGCUGGAAAUGGAAAGGACCCCACCUAUUAGAUGUUUUUCUUUUC